UACGUAGGGGGCAAGCGUUAACCGGAUUUACUGGGUGUAAAGGGAGCGUAGACGGCAGGGCAAGUCUGGAGUGAAAGGCAGGGGCCCAACCCCUGGACUGCUCUGGAAACUGUCCGGCUGGAGUGCAGGAGAGGUAAGUGGGAUUCCUAGUGUAGCGGUGAAAUGCGUAGAUAUUAGGAGGAACACCAGUGGCGAAGGCGGCUUACUGGACUGUAACUGACGUUGAGGCUCGAAAGCGUGGGGAGCAAACAGG
rnacentral:rRNA from 1 species